UACAGAGGAGCCAAGCGUUGUCCGGAUUGACUGGGCGUAAAGCGCACGCAGGCGGAUGCGCGCGUGGGGUGUGAAAUCUGGCCGCUUAACGGCCAGGCGCCAUCCCAUACGGCGCGUCUGGAGUGAUGCAGAGGUCGGUGGAAUUGCCGGUGUAGUGGUGAAAUGCGUAGAGAUCCGGAGGAACACCAGUGGCGAAGGCGACACGCUGGGCCGUACCUGACACUGAUGCGCGACAGCAUGGGGAGCAAACAGG
rnacentral:rRNA from 1 species